AGUCCACUUCAUCAGAUAAAUGGAAUGUCAUCCCUUAGGAAAGUAUAACCUAUGUUUAGAAGAGAGAAUAGCAAACUGUAGGCUUAACAGAAAAUGAAAUAUAGGAAUUUCAGAUUGUGGCAUAGUCUAUGCACGUCAUAGUUUUUGAGUGUGGCAUAUUUUGCAUUUUGAGGUUGCUUACACAUAUUAGCUAAGAUGUUUGUUGCUGUUUAGAUAAAUGGUACCCAUAUUUUUGUUUCUUGACAUUUCACUCUUUUAUUUCUACCGAUAUUUAGGGACAGAUUCUUUUUGAUUCUACCUCCAUAUAAAAGCUCUUCACAAACAGUUGUCUAUUUUAUUAGUUCAGAAUUAAUUGCAUGAUUUAAAAAAAAUGUAUUAAAAUCUUCCAUUUUUUUUACUCAAUACUCAGAAACAUAAAAUUGUUGAAAUUGGCCCUUUUUGUAUUACAGAAGAAUCUACAAAAACAAGCAACGACCUUUCGAAUUCUUCUUCUGCAGAUCCCCUUGUAAAAUGAGACCUCUGAACUCUAGAGCAACUCUCAUUGGUUGAAAUUGAUGGGACCAGAGUGACAUAAAACAUCCACCUCAUCGGUCUGAUAAGUGAUCCAGAAGUGCUGUGAAAUAUCACAUAAUUUACUGUAAUACUCACUCAGCACAGUUUUGGAGUUCCAGACACGUAUGCUAUUUUGAUCUAAGAUGUGGUUGAAAAGGGGGCAAAUUUGUUAUUGGAAAGCUUUAAAAUAUUCUUAUACCUAAUGGAUUCAAUAAUUCUAAAUGCAUCAAAUUACAUCCUUAAUAUGGUUGUUAUUGCUUGUUUUCCUACUGCAUAUAAUUCCCCUUGGGGAAAAAAACCCUGUCUAAUUCAUAGAUUUUACCAAUUAGACUGCUGACUUAAAUGGACAACUUGUAUUGUCCCAGAGACUGUAUAAAGCAUACUAAGCUUAAGGUAGCUAUGUGCUGUAAUAAACAUACUCAUUUUCAUACCUUUUUGGCAUUUAAUUUGAGAGACUCCUAUUUUAGAUACACGGCUUAAACUGUACAGUGUUAACUAAACUAACAUCUUUGUGAAAUACUGAAAACAAAAUCCUGAAAUUAUCUAGAUUCUAAAAGCAUGUAUAUGUAAUGUUGUGAAUAUGUAUACAUAGAGCUUUGUGAAUAUAGUGAUGGUUGCUACUCUUACAUUGAAAUUGUAAAACCAAGUAAUGGAAAAAUAUGGUAAUUUGGGCCUUGAAUGCAAAUCUGUUCUUGGGAGCCUAAUAUUGUGUCCUUCUGCCACAGAAAGAGAAAUUGUUAUACUGCUUGGUCUUUCAGUAGAUACAAGUCUUUCAUGGCUGUUAGAUGUGUGGCAUAUUAAACAUGGGAAUUGGGAAUUAUUUAACAUAACAGUAUAGGAUCGGUGGUAGGUUCAGUAAGACAUGGAAUUAUUAUUUGCCUUCUCCCGUUUCAUCUUUUGAAUAAUCUGUCUUCCAACAUGGAGACAGUAGCUAUGGCAUCUUCUCCAUGUAUUUUAUUUACAAAAGCAUGCCACAGAGAGAUUUUUCUCUUUCAAAUUCUUAAUCUUUAUUUGUAAGGAAUCUUUUAUUUUCUAUGAAAUAAGUAAUUGAACACAAAUGCCUAGGUCACUUCCAGUAAGGUCCUCUUGGCUAUUACAUGGUCUUCCAGAAUAAAAUCACAAGGCCUACCAGGAGGGAUAGGGAUUGACUCAGCAAAGCCAUGAAUAUUUUGUACAUUUGUAUGUUUGAGCUUCUGCCAAAGUUUCUGAAAGGGAGGUCCUGUUUGUCAUUGAUCUAUUACUCUGAUCUAUUCCACCUAGGUUCAAAUUCUCAGGAAUGAAAGGGACAAAAUUAUAACAUGUCUUACUCUAAUUCAUUACACAAACAAAAUGAAACAAAACAAAAAAAACCUGUUACCUCAAUACUUUAUUCUGUUAGAUAUUCUGUACAUAAUGUUAAUAAAUGCAACUUUGGAAAAAAAA